rnacentral:rRNA from 1 species
CUCUGCUCAGGACGAACGCUGGCGGCGUGCCUAAUACAUGCAAGUCGAGCGGACAGAUGGGAGCUUGCUCCCUGAUGUUAGCGGCGGACGGGUGAGUAACACGUGGGUAACCUGCCUGUAAGACUGGGAUAACUCCGGGAAACCGGGGCUAAUACCGGAUGGUUGUUUGAACCGCAUGGUUCAAACAUAAAAGGUGGCUUCGGCUACCACUUACAGAUGGACCCGCGGCGCAUUAGCUAGUUGGUGAGGUAACGGCUCACCAAGGCAACGAUGCGUAGCCGACCUGAGAGGGUGAUCGGCCACACUGGGACUGAGACACGGCCCAGACUCCUACGGGAGGCAGCAGUAGGGAAUCUUCCGCAAUGGACGAAAGUCUGACGGAGCAACGCCGCGUGAGUGAUGAAGGUUUUCGGAUCGUAAAGCUCUGUUGUUAGGGAAGAACAAGUACCGUUCGAAUAGGGCGGUACCUUGACGGUACCUAACCAGAAAGCCACGGCUAACUACGUGCCAGCAGCCGCGGUAAUACGUAGGUGGCAAGCGUUGUCCGGAAUUAUUGGGCGUAAAGGGCUCGCAGGCGGUUUCUUAAGUCUGAUGUGAAAGCCCCCGGCUCAACCGGGGAGGGUCAUUGGAAACUGGGGAACUUGAGUGCAGAAGAGGAGAGUGGAAUUCCACGUGUAGCGGUGAAAUGCGUAGAGAUGUGGAGGAACACCAGUGGCGAAGGCGACUCUCUGGUCUGUAACUGACGCUGAGGAGCGAAAGCGUGGGGAGCGAACAGGAUUAGAUACCCUGGUAGUCCACGCCGUAAACGAUGAGUGCUAAGUGUUAGGGGGUUUCCGCCCCUUAGUGCUGCAGCUAACGCAUAAGCACUCCGCCUGGAGACGCAGCAGGAAAUAUUCAGGGCCCUUAGCG